rnacentral:rRNA from 1 species
AACGAACGCUGGCGGCAUGCCUAACACAUGCAGGUCGAACGAGACCUUCGGGUCUAGUGGCGCACGGGUGCGUAACGCGUGGGAACCUGCCCCUUGGUUCGGAAUAACACAGAGAAAUUUGUGCUAAUACCGGAUGAUGUCUUCGGACCAAAGAUUUAUCGCCGAGGGAUGGGCCCGCGUAGGAUUAGCUUGUUGGUGGGGUAAUGGCCUACCAAGGCGACGAUCCUUAGCUGGUCNGAGAGGAUGAUCAGCCUCAUUGGGACUGAGACACGGCCCAAACUCCUACGGGAGGCAGCAGUGGGGAAUAUUGGACAAUGGGCGCAAGCCUGAUCCAGCCAUGCCGCGUGGAUGAUGAAGGCCCUAGGGUUGUAAAGUCCUCUCGACGGGGAAGAUAAUGACGGUACCCGUAGAAGAAGCCCCGGCUAACUUCGUGCCAGCAGCCGCCGUAAC